AACGAACGCUGGCGGCAGGCUUAACACAUGCAAGUCGAACGCGUGUAGCAAUACACGAGUGGCGCACGGGUGAGUAACACGUGGAUUAUCUGCCUUUUGGUUCGGAAUAACCCCGGGAAACUGGGGCUAAUACCGGAUGGUUCCUAUGGGAUAAAGAUUUAUCGCCAAAAGAUGAGUCCGCGCCCGAUUAGCUAGUUGGCGGGGUAAUGGACCACCAAGGCAACGAUCGGUAGCUGGUCUGAGAGGACGAUCAGCCACACUGGGACUGAGACACGGCCCAGACUCCUACGGGAGGCAGCAGUGGGGAAUAUUGGACAAUGGGGGCAACCCUGAUCCAGCCAUGCCGCGUGAGUGAUGAAGGCCUUCGGGUUGUAAAGCUCUUUUGGCGGGGACGAUGAUGACGGUACCCGCAGAAUAAGCCCCGGCUAACUUCGUGCCAGCCGCCGCCGUAACAC
rnacentral:rRNA from 1 species